AGCAGAUAUGCAACGGGCAGUUUAUCGAUAGCAGCUACGUUGUUCACAACGAUAAUUGUAAAAGCCUUACAUGAUUUGUGUUUUUUUGUAUUCAUAAUUAUUAACCAACGUUUCUUUUAAGAACCAUUUUCUAAGUUGUCGGUUUUGGUUUUGUGUGCUGUUAGUAUGGCAGCAAAAUUGCAAUAAAGCUAGUUCCAGGACCUUGGAAACUUCUUAAGCAUAAGGAUGUUCCAGCACAGUCGGGAUCUGUUGACUGCAGUGUAUUCAUUCUAAUGUAUGCACUGUAUAAGACAUUUGACUGGGAGUUUGACUUCACUCAGCAUGAUAUGGGCAAUAUCAGGCGGUGGUGGGUGAAUCUGCUCUUAACAGAAAUUACACGUGGAAGUUGCCAGAUGCAGUUCUUCAGGAAAUCUUCCUCAAUGUGGUCCUUGAAGAGGGUGAUGAUGAUGCAAUUUUAAAGUUGUCUCUGGUUUGCCCAAAAUUCAGAUGUUUGGUGGGAACAGACAAAUUUCGAAGGAUGGCACAUUUCCGCUGGCUUGACAGUGUUGCAGAAUGGAAAACAAAGUCUAAGACAUUUGUGGAAAACUUUCACAAAAGGUACAAGCUGGACAUCUGCAGACACUGCAAUGAGACACUAUACAUAAAAACAUGAUCACGGCUUCCUUAUUUAAUGACAAAAUGUGAAGAAGAAGAAUUGACAUGCAUGUGCACCGUUAAUAAGUUUUCAUAUGAAUCCUUUAGGUUAUCUUGGAAGAGGAAAACGGGGAGAGAUGCAAGGGUUUUGCAGUGAUUGGUGCCAGAUGCUGGAGGAGUAAUUAACGUACAGUAUUCACAGUUUUAGACUUAAUUUUAAUCAAACAAUUACAUUUUACUUGACAUGCUUGUCACCGCAAAAUAUGUUUUACAAAUAAAGGUCAUUAAUGAGCGUGUUCUUUUUCAUAUCUUGCAUUAUAUAUGAUGUUUAAUUUGAUAAAUAUCAAUACAAACUAUUUUUUCCACUAUAAACAUAUUGUAAUAAAGGUAGGUAAA